CCAUUAAUUCCGCUACCACGCGAACAGCCAUUUCCUUUUCCUCCUGCCAAUAUUGCAUCUGCAGCUGAACCCGCACACCCCGUUGCGAACUUUGACUACUUCUAUACAUGUCUAAUUAGGAUUUCGCCUAAGCAUGAAAAACUUUCAGAUGGGAUCUUUUGCGAAUUGUGCCCGAAAUGCGGUUUGUUCUCCGUCCGGAGCAAAGGGCGCCGAACACUUUUGUGUUGGUCAGCAUAUGUUGUAGAAGCCUUCCGUCCUACCAGCAAAAGAAUUUCAUCUUCGUUGCCUGUGAAUAUUGGUAGACGAACAAAUGGUUCAGAAAAUGUUUCCGGAUGGCAAAGCACCGUACCGACAAAUCCCGUUAGAGAUUCCAGCACUGGAAAUGAACGAUGUGAACGUGCAGGAAAUUUGUUGGGUAGAAUCGACACCUCAGGAGUUGGCAGUGUUAAGAAUGUUACUUUGUUUAAACUGAUUAUUGUACAGUUGUACUACGAUCAGCCCGUCUUAAUACUCUGCAGGAUUAUUAUAUGUACGUGUACCUGGCCAAGCGGAAAUCGGUUACGCAGGUGGUAGAUCUAGAGUCGACGUUUGCCGAAACACAGCUAGCGAUCUGAACGAAAGCGUUGUUUGCUUAAAUUGAAUAUUUUGCUGCUACGGAACCACCGAAUUGAGAACUAAUUGCAGCCUUACAUCUUUAGGUGAUUAUAGCCGGCUGAUGAAUAUCCUUUCAUAAACUUUCGUUUUUUUACUGCAAACUCUUUCGGUAUAACGUCUCAGCGUGUGAAUGAUGUGUAAACAAGAAUACCGGCACGACUGAUCGGCACAGAAGCUUUACUUCUUAUGGGCGUAGCGAACACCGAAGACAACAUUCUGGCUAAACACACGGUCGUCACAACAAACAGCAGGAGAAACACGAACAAAACCGCACAAGGAGAGGCGGACAAACAAGCAGCUCAACGCAGUGAGCCCCCAAAAGAAACCCAAGGAAAACCCGUGGCUGCGGCACGGGCAAAGACAAGACGACGGUCGUUGUCGCGCGCGAUGUACUUCUCAAAACACGCGCUACGCCAGUUACCCUGCGCUUUUAUAGCAUCUGGUGACGCUCCACAUUCGGACGCGAAUGUUGCACCACCGCGCAGGAAGGAAUGAAUACUGAACCUCGCGCCAUCAAACCCCGCUGCGUUUAACGCGGUAUGUACUAUGUAGUAGCUGUGUGAAACGGCCACUUUCGUUUUAUAUUUUUACAAACAGGCAGACGACUGAAUCUUUUAAAGGUUUUCCAGGUCCCGACUGGAUCUUUAUUGAUGCUCAUAAAAAAUUCCUUUGUCAUUUGAUUGACUUGGUCGUCUGGUGUAAAAAAUGAAUCGGUGCGGUGCUUCGUUUGAUUUUGGAGGUACGAUCGUUUUUUGAAAAGGGGGUUCUUUCGCUCUGAUCAAGAUUCUGUAGACAGUUGGUACCAAAUUACCAAUGCAGCCGCGCCAUCGAUGCAUGCUGUUUUUGCGGUAUAAUGUACCUAUACCCCACCCACCGGAUGACGUUUUUUUAAGAUAAUUAAUACAUGCCA